AGAACCCUAGAAUUUGGGGAUUUAGGGCUGAUUGUCAAACUCCAGCAAAAAGUGAAAUUGAUCAAUUAUUUAAGAUAAACGAGGGCUGGAAACACAAAUAAAACAGCAAAUAGAUUAGAAUUGAGAUUCGGCACAAGUAGAAGUAAAUAAAAGAAAUUGAACAGCAAAAAUUAAAGGAUAAGUCCUAAAGAUCCUUGAAAUCCCGAAAGAUUUCACAAAUCUCUUCAAACGGCUCUAAUCUCCCCU
rnacentral:lncRNA from 1 species